CGCGUGGGACGUACCUUUUGCUACGGAAUAACUCAGGGAAACUUGUGCUAAUACCGUAUGUGCCCUUCGGGGGAAAGAUUUAUCGGCAAAGGAUCGGCCCGCGUUGGAUUAGCUAGUUGGUGAGGUAAAGGCUCACCAAGGCGACGAUCCAUAGCUGGUCUGAGAGGAUGAUCAGCCACACUGGGACUGAGACACGGCCCAGGACUCCUACGGGAGGCAGCAGUGGGGAAUAUUGGACAAUGGGCGCAAGCCUGAUCCAUCCAUGCCGCGUGAGUGAUGAAGGCCCUAGGGUUGUAAAGCUCUUUCACCGGUGAAGAUAAUGACGGUAAC
rnacentral:rRNA from 2 species